CACUAGGGAUUACCUUAAAGCCCACAGGUUAGCUCCCACCCAGUGUGCUCCCAACAUGUUUAGGAUCCUAGGUUAUAUCGACGUCCUAAAUGAGAGAAUGGGUUUAGGCCUUAACUAUCACGAUGUAAACUGGAUUUACAACCUCCACCACCUAACCAGACAAGGGUACUAUCUGAAAUCUAGGUACCCUAAGGUUAUGCACAUCCAAUGCCUUCUCGACUCUAAUAAAGGCUUGAAAAGGAUUUUUUGAUCCUAUCAGGGGAGUGGCACGAUGGCCUCCCUUAUCCGAUGACGGAAGGGAAACCAGACCUACACUCUGUUGCGCCCAACUUCAACCUGGUAAACCGAGCAAGUUUGGACAAGAUCUUGAAAGCUGAGAUCUUCAUCCACACAAACGGACAAUUCAGAGCAGCUCAUUUGAUUUUGGACUACAUUUCGAUCUCCAAAAGCUUUUUGGCGCCUAAGUGUGUCAUCAAAGCUAGAGAUCCUCAGCUGCAACGAAUCAGCGUAGCAGCCCUAAGUUUUUUACUCUCCGACCCUAUUCCAGAAGGCACACAAGCUGCUGAUCCUAUUCCUGAGGGCAUAUCGAAGGUAGCCUCACCACCACCACAAGCCACUAGAGUAGCCACUUCUUCCUAUCUUGCCAGCACCAAAGAGGAAGAAAUAGUUGACGUACCUGACUCCGAGGAUGAAUUUGAGACUUCAACCGAGCUUGGUCCCCAUAAACUUCAACUUUUGAUCUCGGCCCUCCAUUCAGUCCAUUAAUAGAUGAGAUGGGGAUCCAGCGCAAGCAGAGGUCCAAUCUCAAGGACUUACUGGAGUCCCUAUCGAGGAAAGAUGCACUGAGGAAGGUUGCACCUGCCUUACCCCUCCAGCUUGAACCUGCUGGAUUAAAAAGGAUGAGGGAGCCUAAAGGCAAGGAGAUGAUGGACACUGGAAAAACCCAUCCCUCCUAAGAGGACAAGGCCCAGAGAACGGCCAAGCAAAUUAAAAUAGGGCAAAAAGGGGCUGAAAGGAGGAGUGAGCCUUAAGAUGUGCCCCCAGCUUGGCUUCCUGCCCCAAUGCUGGACGGGGCACCUCUAUUAGCCACCGCCUCUAUUAGAGAGUUCUAGGGGGGAAUCGCCGGCUACGUGGUCGAUGCGGGUGGAGCAGGCUUUGCUGCUCCCCAAGGAUAUGGCCGAGCUACAGUCAAUAAGGAGGUAUGAGGUCUUCCUCAACCUCAAGAGGUAUCUCGCUAUGGUUGUUCAAGCCUCCUUUCGAGCAAAGGAGAUUACCAACUAUUGCCACCAGCAGAUGAAGGAGGAGGAGGGAAGGCGUAACUCCACCGUGAAGGCCUUCAAUGUGGCCAAGUAGAGCAAUAAAAAGCUCAAGAAACAACUGCUAGAAGAACAGAGAGAAAGAAAAAGUGCAGCAGCAGCUCUUGAUAGUGCUGAAAAACAGGUCGAGAGCCAGAAGGUGCUCCUUCGCAACACCGAGGAUCAGCUGACUGCCUCCAAAACUCAAAUCGUCACGCUUAAGAAUAAAUUGGAGGAGGCAGAGAAGGAGAAGGUCCAAGCAGAAAGGGCUCGGGAUCAAGCCGAGCAGGAUGGGUACGACGCCAGAGUGGCAGAGACCGAAGAAGCCCUCAAGGCUGAGGUCCUAGGGUAUGUAGGAAUUACUGCUCCCAGACGUAGUAUGAAGCUCUCAUCCAGGCCGGGGUUGAGGCUUCAUCUGCACAUAGGAAGGCAGAGAACGUCUACUACCCCCCUGCCAUCCGGCGGUCUGUUCCCUCUUUUUCGAGGAUUGAUGUCGAGCCCGAGGUGACAAAGGUGAGCAAGGACAGCACAACCAACGUUACAGCCUCCUCUGUCAACCUCUUCAAGGAGGCUAAGAAGCCCGGGGCUACCGAAAAAGAAAAGAACUCCAAUCAAGUGGUGGCCCCUGAUGCUCUUAAGCCCCCAACUACCUCCCAGGACCCUCCUAUAGAAAAAGAAGCAUCUAAAACAAUGGAGAUUGUCCUGGCUUCUCUGCCUCUACCUGCCAAGUCUGAUCCUGCGAGCAAAGGCCCUGAGGCCUCAGAAGAUGCAUCUGCUCAGCCCAUUAGAGGCCUUCUAAAGGAAAAACUUAUCAUAAAAAAGUAAAAUGAGUGUAGUUUUUCUUUUUCGUUUUGUCUGUUUCUUUUUCUUCUUUUUCUUUUACUCGCAAAUUUUGUUUUAAUUCCUAAAGUUUGUAAGGA